GUCUGCAGCCUACAAACGUGGAUCUGCCGACACUGUGCUGUCGACGACAUGUCCCGCAAGGCAUCUUGCGUGAAAGCAAGGAACGCUUUUUUUUAGAAAGGAAGCUUCUUCCCCAAAAUUUAAAAAAUUUAAAAUUAUUCCUUCUGAAAAUAUCAUCGCGCUCUUGACCUCGAAGCUGACGGCUGAAUGCGAUUAGGAAAGAAGAUUCCUGAAGAUGCACCAGACUGAUUCUGGCAAGCCGUCUGUCGUCUGGAUAUGCACUGUUGUUCGUUAUGGUCAGCAAUCUUCUUCGUUCGUCCUUUCGUUUUCCUGACCACGAUGAUGACAAGCAGCUCUCAUGCUCAGGAUUCUGAAAGCUGGAGCAGCUCUGCUUACCUCGACCACUGAACUUACAAC